CCAUAUCACCGAUUUCCGUACGAUCACCGAAGCAACGUCGAGUCUGGUCUGUACUUGGAUGGGUGACUUCUUGGGAAUACCAGGUGUUGUAA